rnacentral:ncRNA from 2 species
AAAUUGAAUACACUUUCAUGUUCCGCCCCGCUUUGGGGAGGCUAAGAGGGAAGCAGGUUAAAGGCCUGCGCGGUCCCGCCGCUGUAUGCGCGGAGCGUUCUGCAUAUGUGCUAACUUACUUGGCACGGUCACUGGGCUAUAAGCACCUGGGAAGGCAUUGCAGAAUGCGAUGAAGCGCGAGCCAGAAGACCUGCUUGAAAGUUCGCCUUACC